ensembl:lncRNA
AUGGAAACCAAAUCAAAAAACGACUCAAUCAUGUGUCAGUGGUCAAAACAUUUCUUGUGUUUGUUGUACAUUUCUGCUAUAUAAUGCUAUAUAUGUGGUUAUUGUGGUUCGUUGAAAAUAACCCUCAGCGAGGAAAAGUGGUUGAAUGUCUUGUGUUCUACACUGAACGCAGCCGAUUAAUGUUUGCCUCUUGAGAUUAACCAUGGUUCAGUCUAGUAUAGCCUGUUAAUAGGUAAUAUAUGAUACCGUCUGCACAUUAUCAGGGCAAUUGAGUUGCUCUUCUUUUGUUUCAUAGAAACACCAACUACAUUUUAUUAGACUUUGGCGUUGCAAUCGAGGAGAACUUCCCCGAAGUUGUUAUAAAAAGUCAUGAGGGGAUUUGGGUUUUUUCGAUACCUGUAAGUGUACAAUAUCGUCUGUGUAAGCACAUGGUCUGUAAAACACAAGGAGUCAUAGUCUACGUUUGCAAUGCUAUUGGAUUUACAUUAUCUCUCCCCGUUCUCCAUAUAUUUCCACAAGACGAGGGUGCUGGGAUUGUCUUUCCUUCAAUAAAACUUUCUGUGGACACGUCUUGUGAUGAAUGUGUUUGACGAUUUUGAAAGCGUAUUCAGAGAUAUGCAAAUGAAAGCAUAUUUUGCUUUGGUCCCGAGUCCUGUAAAGUGUCCACUACUUCCAUCCCAUCCCGGUGAACAUACCUAACACUAACCCUGAUGUUAAAGAUGUUCCCUGUCUGACCUUAAAUUAAAAAAUAGCUCUGCUCUCAAUAUCAUGCAGUUUUAUUCCUAGUUUUGAGGUGUAGUUUUGGUAAACUGAUUCCAUUUGCACACAAAAGCAGAUAAAUAAAAACUCCAUUGAAAUGAUUAUAGUUUUUUUAUUUUAUUCUUUUUUUCAUUAAUGGCAUCUCUACAGCAAUAGUAAGCCUUUACUGGCUUUACUCUUGGCUACUACCACAUAUACAGACAUACUACCAUAUUUUUUAAAGCAAUCGCACAUAAUUAUUUUCAAUUAAUACAACUAUUUUAAUGACUUGCCAUUUUACUCAAGAUUGUCCCGUAGAAUGGUGACAAAUAAAAUAAAUUGAGUUGUAUGCAUUGUUUGUAUAUGUAUAUGAUGUAUAUGUAAAGCAAACAAUAAUAAUGAAAGUUUGAAUGUAAAAUAACAUUUUGAACAUUACUAGGUUAAUACUAAUAUAUGAAUGUGAUCAAAAAGUCCCCAAAAACACCACUCUUCGCUUCCUUUUUGAUAAUAGCUACAACAAUCAAUCAACAAGUCAGAUUAAAUUAGCUGUCUCUGUUAUAUUAGUACACACUCUUUAAAUAUAUACUAAAGAUAUGUAAUGCAUCAAUACAACAAUCUGUAUACAACAAAACAGAAUAAAAGCCAAACAAAAGCACUGUUAGGUAAAGCAUAACAAGCACAUGGAAACAUCCUUUCUGUUUAUGGCAGACCUUCUACGCCUAAUCUGGGGACGCCUCGUCCUUGGACGAGUGUCCACAGCACUCAGGACAGCAGCAGCAGCUGUGGCAGCAGUACCGUUGAAGUCGACUCAGAAGUCCUGUUGAGCCCCUUCCAGCCUGAGGCUCUUGUUCGUUUACUGUCCCACCCUGUGGCUGUACCUCUCUGUGGGGAUCUGGCCCUGUCUGCAUGGCUCUUUCGUUAGUCCAUCUUCGGAAUCUGCUUCCUUUCAGUUUCUCAAGCUCUCCAAGCAGCUGUGCUCUAAGUUGCUCAAGCUCUCUGUAUUUGUCAGCUAGCAUCUUUCGGUUGCUUGGCUGCUGGUGGAUUCGGUCUUCCUCUUGCGAAUCUAUGCUCGUUGUCUGCGAGGGCUCUUUGUCCUCUCUUUGCAAGUGAGGCCUCUUGACUAUGUCGCGAAGGGUCUGCAGCUUCUGCUCCAGGUUCUUUCUCAUCUUGGUACCUCUUCUCUUCAUGUGGUCGAUCUCCCUCCGUUCCAUUCUUGUCUCUUUCCACAUCAUCCGCAAUUUAUCUUGGUUAGAGACAUGUUCUUUUGUAGAAAUGUUUUCAGCUGUUGUGACGUUCUCUUGGUGGUCAUCGUUAUCAUUGUGUUGUAUGGGAUCCUCAUUUUUUAUUCUUUUAAAGCUCUCGUCGGCAGCACUUUGGGGAAUUUCGGGGCCUUUUUGUUUGAUCGGCUCUUGAGGAAAGUUAGUCUGGGUUUGAACAGAGAUAUGUUCAAUUUUUCCCUUGUUUCUCUUAACAUCCCGCAGAAGUUUUGCGACAACGUCAUAUUGAGCUUUCAAAUCUACCUUAAUUUUGUCAAGAUGCAAAUAAGAAUUCAGCAUAGUUUUCCAUUUAUCAUUACAUUCUUGUUGUUUAAUUUUGAUUUCCUCAUGUUUUCUUACUGUACAUUGUAAUAUAAUUAUCAGCUCUUUGAGUUUUAAGGAUAGUGUAUUCAGGUUCUCUCUUUCUUUUCCGGCUUUCAUAUAAGAUUGAUCUCUCUCCUGUGCCUCUGUAUCUUUCUGGAUUUCAGACCUCAUGGUAUCCAAAUCAAGGUUGUCUUUGUUGAUUUUUUCUUUAACUGUGUCAAGACAUUUGCUUUGCCUGUCUACUGCUUCCUUUUCCAUUUUGAGAUCUUGCUUCUCCAGUAAAAGCUCCUCGUUCCAAUUCUUUUGCAUUUCUUGUUUUUGUGCAAUCACGUCCGAUUUCAUAUUGAUCAGAUCUUCUCUUUGUCUUUUUAUCUGUUUGAAAUGCUUGUCAAUCUUCAAUUUCUGCUGUUCAAUUUCUUUUUUCUGAAUUUCCAAGAUAGUUGCCUUAUUUUGUGCAUCCAGAAUCUUCUGCUCUAUUAAUUGACUCUUCAUUGUAAUGUCUUGAUGUGUCUUUUCAACCAACUCUUUUAUUGCCUCUUUCAUAAUUGUGUUGUGUCUUAUCGUUUGCAUGGCCUCUUCUUCUCUCAUCCUUACUUCCGACAAAUCUCUUUCUAGCAUCGUCCUUUCGUCCAAGGCCUUUCUUCGCGCUUCAUUAAUAUCAAGCUUCUCUUGUUCAAGCUGUGCUGUCCCUUCAAAGAUUCUUUCCACGAUCACUUUAAGCUCCUCCUUCUUAUUCAUGACAUCACUCUUAAAACGUUGAACUUCCUCCUGUUGUUUUAUUAGAUUUUCCUGCCCAAUUUGGAGAUCAUCAGUCAAUCGUUUCAGGUCACUGUCUAGAAGCUCUUGUUGUUUCUGUUUUUGGGCCAUGUGUUGUAUCUCUUUCUGAAGUUCUUGGAUUUUCUUUAGGCCUUCAAGAAGUAAAUGGUCCAUCUUUUCUCUGUCACUGUUCAAAUCGCUCUGUAGACCAUGAACUUUGUCUUGUUUUUCUUGGAGUUCCGCCUUUGCCAUUUCAAGUCUUUCUUUUUCAACUUUCACAAAAGAUUGAUCUCUUUCUAGGAUCUCAGUUUGUUCCCGGAUCUUUUCUUUCUUCUCUUUCCAGUAUCUCUGUUUCUUUCUGGAUUUCGGACCUCAUGAUAUCCAAAUCAAGGUUGUCCUUGUUGAUUGUUUCUUUAACUGUGUCCAAAUAUUUCCUUUGCCUGUCUACUGCUUCCUUUUCCGUAUUGAGAUCUUGUUUCUCUAGUAGCAGCUCCUCAUUCCAAUUCUUUUGCAUUUCUUGUUUUUGUACAAUCAUGUCCGAUUUCAUAUUGAUCAGAUCUUCUCUGUGUCGUUGUAUUUGUUCAAAGUGUGUGUCAAUCUCCAAUUUCUGCUGUUCAAUUUCUUUUUUCUGAAUUUCCAAGAUAGUUGUCAGAUUUUGUGCAUCCAGUUUCUUCUGCUCUAUUAAUUGCCUCUUCAUUGUAAUGUGUUGAUGUGUCUUUUCAACCAGCUCUUUUAUUGCCUCUUUCAUAAUUGUGUUGUGUCUUAUCGUUUGCAUGGCCUCUUCUUCUCUCAUCCUUACUUCCGACAAAUCUCUUUCUAGCAUCGUCCUUUCGUCCACGGCCUUUCUUCGCGCUUCAUGAAUAUCAAGCUUCUCUUGUUCAAUCUGUGCUGUCCCUUCAAAGAUUCUUUCCACGAUCACUUUAAGCUCCUCCUUCUUAUUCAUGACAUCACUCUUAAAACGUUGAACUUCCUCCUGUUGUUUUAUUAGAUUUUCCUGCCCAAUUUGGAGAUCAUCAGUCAAUCGUUUCAGGUCACUGUCGAGAAGCUCUUGUAGUUUCUGUUUUUGGGCCAUGUGUUGUAUCUCUUUAUGAAGUUCUUGGAUUUUCUUUUGGCCUUCAAGAAGUAAAUGGUCCAUCUUUUCUCUGUGACUGUUCAAAUCGCUCUGUAGACCAUGAACUUUGUCUUGCUUUUCUUGGAGUUCCGCCUUUGCCAUUUCAAGUCUUUCUUUUUCUACUCUCACAAAAGAUUGAUCUCUUUCUAGUAUCUCAGUUUGUUCCCGGAUCUUUUCUUUCUCUCUUUCCAGUGCAUCUGUUUCUUUCUGGAUUUCAGACCUCAUGAUAUCCAAAUCAAGGUUGUCUUUGUUGAUUGUUUCUUUAACUGUGUCCAGAUAUUUGCUUUGCCUGUCUACUGCUUCCUUUUCCGUAUUGAGAUCUUGUUUCUCCAGUAGCAGCUCCUCGUUCCAAUUCUUUUGCAUUUCUUGUUUUUGUACCAUCAUGUCCGAUUUCAUAUUGAUCAGAUCUUCUCUGUGUCUUUUAUUUGUUCAAAGUGUUGUGUCAAUCUCCAAUUUUUGCUCUUCCAUUUCUUUUUGCUGAAUUCCAAGUUAGUUGUCUGAUUUUGUGCAUCCAGAAUCUUCUGCUCUAUGAAUUGCAUCUUCAUUGUAAUGUCUUGAUGUGUCUUUUCAACCAACUCUUUUAUUGCCUCUUUCAUAUUUGCAUUGUUUCUUAUCGUUUGCAUGGCCUCUUCUUCUCUCAUCCUUACUUCCGACAAAUCUCUUUCUAGCAUCGUCCUUUCAUCCAAGGCCUUUCUUCGCUCUUCAUAAAUAUCAAGCUUCUCUUGUUCAAGCUGUGCUGUCCCUUCAAAGAUUAUUUCCAGGAUCACUUUAAGCUCCUCCUUCUUAUUGAUGACAUCACUCUUACAACGUUGAACUUCCUCCUGUUGUUUUAUUAGAUUUUCCUGCCCAAUUUGGAGAUCAUCAGUCAAUCGUUUCAGGUCACUUUCUAGAAGCUCAUGUUGUUUCUGGGCCAUGUGUUGUAUCUGUUUAUGAAGUUCUUGGAUUUUCUUUUGGCCUUCAAGAAGUAAAUGGUCCAUCUUUUCUCUGUCACUGUUCAAAUCGCUCUGUAGACCAUGAACUUUGUCUUGCUUUUCUUGGAGUUCCGCCUUUGCCAUUUCAAGUCUUUCUUUUUCUACUCUCACAAAAGAUUGAUCUCUUUCUAGUAUCUCAGUUUGUUCCCGGAUCUUUUUUUCUCUCUUUCCAGUGCCUCUGUUUCUUUCUGGAUUUCAGACCUCAUGAUAUCCAAGUCAAGGUUGUCUUUGUUGAUUAUUUCUUUAACUGUGUCCAGAUAUUUGCUUUGCCUGUCUACUGCUUCCUUUUCCGUUUUGAGAUCUUGUUUCUCCAGUAGCAGCUCCUCGUUCCAAUUCUUUUGCAUUUCUUGUUUUUGUACCAUCAUGUCCGAUUUCAUAUUGAUCAGAUCUUCUCUGUGUCUUUUUAUUUGUUCAAAAUGUGUGUCAAUCUCCAAUUUCUUCUCUUCCAUUUCUUUUUGCUGAAUUCCCAAGUUAGUUGUCUGAUUUUGUGCAUCCAGAAUCUUCUGCUCUAUGAAUUGCAUCUUCAUUGUAAUGUCUUGAUGUGUCUUUUCAACCAACUCUUUUAUUGCCUCUUUCAUAUUUGUGUUGUGUCUUAUCGCUUGCAUGGCCUCUUCUUCUCUCAUCCUUACUUCCGACAAAUCUCUUUCUAGCAUCGUCCUUUCGUCCAAGGCCUUUCUUCGCUCUUCAUAAAUAUCAAGCUUCUCUUGUUCAAGCUGUGCUGUCCCUUCAAAGAUUCUUUCCACGAUCACUUUAAGCUCCUCCUUCUUAUUCAUGACAUCACUCUUACAACGUUGAACUUCCUCCUGUUGUUUUAUUAGAUUUUCCUGCCCAAUUUGGAGAUCAUCAGUCAAUCGUUUCAGGUCACUGUCUAGAAGCUCUUGUUGUUUCUGUUUUUGGGCCAUCUGUUGUAUCUGUUUAUGAAGUUCUUGGAUUUUCUUUUGGCCUUCAAGAAGUAAAUGGUCCAUCUUUUCUCUGUCACUGUUCAAAUCGCUCUGUAGACCAUGAACUUUGUCUUGCUUUUCUUGGAGUUCCGCCUUUGCCAUUUCAAGUCUUUCUUUUUCUACUCUCACAAAAGAUUGAUCUCUUUCUAAUAUCUCAGUUUGUUCCCGGAUCUUUUCUUUCUCUCUUUCCAGUGCCUCUGUUUCUUUCUGGAAUUCAGACCUCAUGAUAUCCAUGUCAAGGUUGUCUUUGUUGAUUGUUUCUUUAACUGUGUCCAGAUAUUUGCUUUGCCUGUCUACUGCUUCCUUUUCCGUAUUGAGAUCUUGUUUCUUCAGUAGCAGCUCCUCGUUCCAAUUCUUUUGCAUUUCUUGUUUUUGUACCAUCAUGUUCGAUUUCAUAUUGAUCAGAUCUUCUCUGUGUCUUUGUAUUUGUUCAAAGUGUGUGUCAAUCUCCAAUUUCUGCUUUUCCAUUUCUUUUUGCUGAAUUUCCAAGUUAGUUGUUCUAUUUUGUGCAUCCAGAAUCUUCUGCUCUAUGAAUUGCAUCUUCAUUGUAAUGUCUUGAUGUGUCUUUUCAACCAAGUCUUUUAUUGAGUCUUUCAUAUUUUGGUUGUGUCUCAUCGUUUGCAUGGCCUCUUCUUCUCUCAUGCUUACUUCCGAUAAAUCUCUUUCUAGCAUCAUCCUUUCGUCCAAGGCCUUUCUUCGCUCUUCAUAAAUAUCAAGCUUCUCUUGUUCAAGCUGUGCUGUCCCUUCAAAGAUUCUUUCCACAAUGACUUUAAGCUCCUCCUUCUUAUUCAUGAAAGCAAUCUUAAAACGUUGAACUUCCUCCUGUUGUUUCAUUAGAUUUUCCUGUCCAAUUUGGAUAUCAUCCGUCAAUUGUUUCAAGUCACUGUCUAGAAGCACUUGUUGUUUCUGUUUUUCGGCCAACUGUUGUAUCACUUUAAGAAGUUCUUGGAUGUUCUUUUGGACUUCAAGAAGUUCAUUUUCCAUCUUUUUUCUGUCACCGUUCAUGUCGCUCAAAGCUCUUUGCUUUUCUAUGAGAAGGUCUGUCCUCAAUCUAUAUUCAAUUUCCUCUGUUUGUAUUGAAAUGUCUUGUCCUAAUGUUAUUUGUUCCUCUCUGGGUCUUUGGAUUGAUUGAAAAUAACUCUCCAUUUUCACUCUAUGGUUAUCAAACUCCUGUUUCUUCAGUUGUGUAAGCAAUUUAAGUUUUUUAAAAGUAAAAAAAACAUGUCAAAAGUUAAAUUGCACUUCUCUCACCUCUGAUGAUUUUCAGUUCCAACUGCUCAGACAUACAAUUCAAAUAAUGAUCUAUUUAAUAAUUAUCCAAGUUCACAGUGUUGACUUGAGUUCUCAGUGUAACGCUUGACUCAGUA